AUGAAGCGGGAGCUCCCGGGUUCGAAUCCUGACCUGCAUGAGUUGCGUUCUCGCGCGCGACUUCGUACAUCUUACGCGACACCAAGUAUGGACUCGCGCGCGAAGUGACAACUCAUGCUAGACGUGGAUAUACGGUUUGAAUGGUGUAAUGUACCUGUGAGGCGUAAACCGGGAGUUGAAAAUAUACUGCGACAUCCAAAACGCACUACACAUUAUGGGCAAAACUAUUAAACAGUAAACCCUCCGCUGAUACGGCCCGAACUCUCCUAAUUCCUGGAGUAUGCUAUCCAGUUGGAGCUGUGCCAGCGUUGAUCGCCUACAACAUACCAGUAAAAAUGAGAAACAGAAAACAUCACCAGUGAAAAUGAGAAGCAGAAAACAUCACCAUUGAAAAUGAGAAACAGAAUACAUCACCAGUUUUCAUUGAGAAGCCGAAACACGUUUCCUACUGGUGUUUUUGUAGGUAUUUUUUUUUACCAAGGGUAUGGCAUUUUUAGCCAUGCGGCUUUCUUAAUGAUUUCGCGACAGUCGAUUUGCGAAAAAGACGACUUUAAAGUAGGUGGUUCUGGUUAUGCAGGAGAUUCUCACGUUUCACGGAUGGUAAAGUUUAAAAAGUCAAAUAAUUUUUAGUCACUCCAAGUCAGAGAAAAAACAGGUGAUUUUAGAUACCUAUUACCAGUGGCGGCUUUGCAGUCUUUGCCGCCCUAGGCCCCAGGUCCUGUAGCCGCCCCAUUCAAGGCACGCAUAAUAUUGACUACAUUUUGAGUUAUUUCUUGUUACCAUCAGCGAAUUUUUUGUCACAAUUUGCCGCCCCUAUAUAUCUUGCCGCCCUAGGCCCGGGCCUAAUGUGCCUUAGGGCAAAUCCGCCACUGCCUAUUAUAGUAACUCACCGACAAAAUCAGCACCGUCCCCAGUAUCACAAAAAGCCUCAUUUUCUCCGAUCUAGGUAACUAUCAAUACAGACUCUCAACCAACUGCCUUUUUUAUACCCCCCACUAAUAUAUUCAUGGCAAAUAUUAUCAACAAGCAUACAAAUGGCCAUCUUUUAACUACCCAGAUGUACAAAUAAUAUUGACAAUAAGAUCUUAUGGAAUAAAAAAGUUAAUGAUA